AUGGCUCAGUGAGGCCUUCGGACUGGCUCGAGGAGGUUGGCAACGACCACCCCGAGCCGGAAAGUUCGUCAAACUCGGUCAUUUAGAGGAAGUAAAAGUCGUAACAAGGUUGAUCCCUCCGUCAAAAAUACUUGCGGAAGCCUUUGCAGCUGGAAACAGUAGCCCGAGCGACUCUAUAAAAUAAUUUCGGUCUCAUGCAAGUCAGCGUUUUUGCUGGCGACACUUUCGAAUUGCGGGGAACUCCUAAGAGCCCUUUACACCAAACCAGCCUGGGGAAACCCGCUGGUGGCCUGUGGGAAACUACAGGGUAUGGUAACAGUUAAAGGGAUGAAUUGGCACUGCUGCAGUGCCGGUGAAAUGGACAAUCCGCAGCGAAGCCCCUGCUGUUCACGGUAGUUUUUUCAACCACCAAACAUGGGGAACGUUCACAGACUAAGUGGAAGUGGGUGGGGUGCUUUUUAGGUGCCCUGCUUAAGAUAUAGUCGGGCCCCUUUGGAAACUCUGGGGAUGGGAAGGCAGCUUUUUCCAAGCUAUUUCCCUCAACAAGCCGUUCCGUAGGUGAACCUGCGGAAGGAUCAUU
rnacentral:rRNA from 1 species